ensembl:lncRNA
GUGUGAGUGCGUGUGUGAAUGGGUGAAUGACUGAAUGUAGUGUAAAGCGCUUUGGGGUCCUUAGGGACUGAGUAAAGCGCUAUACAAAUGCAGGCCAUUUACCAUUUGCAGGCCAUAGCAAAGGACUAGCAACGAUGUGGCAAACAGAGAAAGGAAAAUAUGUCUACUUGCUAACAGAUGAAAUAGCUGAAAAAGAUCUAAACGAAAAUCAGCUGAGGUAAGUGACUGAAGUGAACAAGUAUUGCAAAGCCAUAGUUUCGUGUGAAUUACUAUGUAUUUGGACUGGACUGAAGUGAAUAGGGAGAGAAAAAGUGAUAGAAAUUGUAUGACUAUAUGUGAAAUUUUCAGUCACUAAUAUUGUUAUUACCAGUUGUUAAGAAUAUCAAAAAUUACAAAAGUGAUUUUUAUUUGAAGUAGCCAAAAAUGCUGAAAUACACUUCGCCCACAAGCCUGGUAUUCAGAUGAAAAGGAGACUACCUUGUUAGUUACUGUGUGAAGUCUAUAUUGUUUAAAAUAUACAGUAUAGCAUGACAGGUAUUUUUUUUUUUUUUUUUUUUAAGAUUUUAAGCUAUAUAGCUAAUUAGCUAACUAUUUAGCAAAUUUUGCUGGCUAACUUAACAAAACUUGUUUUGUUUGUAGAUAAGUGAAAUAUGUGUUCCAUUAGUUUUUUCUGUCACAGGGGCACCAGACUUCCCUGAUCCUGGCCACCUCUUCCAACUCAUCCCUGAGGAUUUCCUGGCCAGCCAGGAGGUAUAACCUCCCCAGCCAGUCCUGGGUCUGCCCCAGGCCUCCUCCUGGUAGGACUAGUAUCAGUGCUCAAAAGACCUCGCCCACGAGUGUCCAACUACGUCAUAGUCAGAUGCUUGAACCACCUCAACUGGCGCAGUAGCUAUACUGCGAGUCCCUCUCAAAUGACCAUGACCCUGUCUCAUGGAGACUCAGGCAUCCUUCAAAGGAAACUCAUUUUCGCCACUUUCAUCUGUGACUUCAUUCUUUCGGAAAUCUUCAGAGCUCGUGAAUGUAGGUAAGGGUAGAAACAUAGAUUGACCAAAUCAAUAGCUUUACAUUUACACUCACCUUUUCCUCCCCACAAGAGAUUAAUACUGCCCCAGUCCAUCUAACAUCUCAUACGGAAGAGGAUUCUCAGAAAAAAGUCAGAAUUAUGGCUUUAAUCUCAGAAUUCUGACUUUUUCCUCAGAAUAAUUUUUUCUCAGA